rnacentral:misc_RNA from 1 species
AAGUCGUAACAAGGUAACCGUAGGUGAACCUGCGGUUGGAUCAUUAGAGUAGUUUGAAAGGGAAGAAUUUGCAUAGUUUUUAAUUGUGCAAGCUUCCUCCCUUUUCUAAACAUAUUCCCCUAAUUGUACAUGUUUCCUGUUUUAUUAGACAGUCCGGCAAUUUGUAAUUGUUGGCUGGCUAAUUGUGACUAACGCUUAUUAUCUUGUGUAAUUUUUUUUUUGCAUGCAAUGUUUCCAUUCAUAUUGUUGUUUGGUUUCUUGCAUUUUUUAUUAAUGAAUACAACUUUAGACAAUGGAUCUCUUGGCUCUC